UCAGUAAUGUAUCGCACUUUGCACUGCAUAACCUCAGGGAUUCAUAUGCUGAAGAAUAUGCAGGAAUCUUCUAAAGAAUGGAAUAUCUCUUUUGCUGGCUGUGGAUUUCUGAUGGCUUACUACUGUGGAGUCUAUAGCUGUUUAUUUGAACGGGCCCCGUUUCUUCUUAAGGGGGUGAAGAAGAUUUGUGGGGCUUCAUCUGGUGCUCUCAUGGGUGCAAUACUAGCAUGCCAAAUGUCUCCAGCCAAAUCCUGUGAAAAUUUGCUGGAAAUGUCUCGAGAGGCUCGGAAAGGCACUCUGGGUGCUGUGCAUCCCUCCUUCGACCUGCUGAAGAUAGUACGAAACUUCCUAAAUCAUGACCUGCCUGAAGAUGCCCACCUACUCGCCAGUGGACGACUGUUUGUGUCACUCACACGAGUGUCAGAUGGGACAAAUGUGUUGGUGUCUGAGUUCGACAGUAAAGAAGAUCUCAUUCAGGCUCUGAUUUGUAGCUGCUUUUAUCCACUGUACUGUGGUGUGAUACCUCCAAGAUAUCAUGGAAUAAGGUAUGUAGAUGGAGCAUUGAGUGAUAACAUGCCUUUCUCUGGUCUGAGGAACACAAUCACCAUCUCGCCUUUUUCUGGAGAGAGUGACAUCAGUCCUUAUGGCAGCCCUUUUUACUUUCAUGACAUUUACUACAAUAACGUCAGCAUUCACAUCAACUUCAUUAACGCACACCGAGUGGUCAUUGCAUUUUUUCCUCCAGAUCCAGAGGUCUUGGCUGAGAUGUGUCAAAGGAUAUAAGGAUGCUUUCCUUUUUUUAAAAGAAAAUGAACUCCUGAAGCUCACAUCGCCAAUGUCAGAGCUGACCCUAAUAGAAGAAUGGGAGAAUAUUCCAACACCUAAGAAAUAUAUAAGUGAAAACAAGCUAAGAGUGACUGGGAAUUCUAAAAAUGUCCUUCCGGAGUCCAUCAAAAAAGUAUUUUGUAAGGCUAGCUUGAGGGAGGAUGAAGAAAUAAGAUGUUCUCUUUCAGUGAAGCUGGUUUACUGUCUAAUGUGGUGCAUUUGGCCGGUGGAGAUGGCAUACAUAAUGCUCUUAAGGCUUGUUGAGUGCACUCCAGAGAUGUGGUCAUAUCUGCUGUGGAUGUGGCAGAUGACAAUGAGAAUGAUUGGACAAAUAUUGAAGAAUGCUUUCUCAAGGUUUUAAAGAUAUUACAUAAUAACCCAAAUAUUAAAUGUGAUGUCCCUAAAUAAGACUUUCUGCCUUCAGUCACAUUCAGAAAUAUCCAACUCUUCACCAACUCACUUACCAGCACCACCUCUUUUUACAAACACUGUGUAAUUAUUUUGAAUAAAAAGGUUUCAAUAA